AAGGAUUUAAGUUAAAUCUAAACUCGAAGCCUUCAAAGCUCCCAAUAAAGUCAAUUCUUUAAGCCUUA
rnacentral:tRNA from 1 species